UAGGGAAUCUUCGGCAAUGGGGGGAACCCUGACCGAGCAACGCCGCGUGAGUGAAGAAGGUUUUCGGAUCGUAAAGCUCUGUUGUUAAGGAAGAACGAGUGUGAGAAUGGAAAGUUCAUGCUGUGACGGUACUUAACCAGAAAGGGACGGCUAACUACGUGCCAGCAGCCGCGGUAAUACGUAGGUCCCGAGCGUUGUCCGGAUUUAUUGGGCGUAAAGCGAGCGCAGGCGGUUAGAAAAGUCUGAAGUGAAAGGCAGUGGCUCAACCGUGGAGGGUCAUUGGAAACUAAUAAACUUGAGUGCAGGAGAGAAAAGUGGAAUUCCUAGUGUAGCGGUGAAAUGCGUAGAGAUUAGGAGGAACACCGGUGGCGAAAGCGGCUUUUUGGCCUGCAACUGACACUGAGGCGCGAAAGCGUGGGGAGCAAACAGG
rnacentral:rRNA from 1 species